AGCGAACGCUGGCGGCAGGCUUAACACAUGCAAGUCGAGCGGGCGUAGCAAUACGUCAGCGGCAGACGGGUGAGUAACGCGUGGGAACAUACCUUUUGGUUCGGAACAACACAGGGAAACUUGUGCUAAUACCGGAUAAGCCCUUACGGGGAAAGAUUUAUCGCCGAAAGAUUGGCCCGCGUCUGAUUAGCUAGUUGGUGAGGUAACGGCUCACCAAGGCGACGAUCAGUAGCUGGCUUGAGAGGAUGAUCAGCCACAUUGGGACUGAGACACGGCCCAAACUCCUACGGGAGGCAGCAGUGGGAAUAUUGGACAAUGGGCGCAAGCCUGAUCCAGCCAUGCCGCGUGAGUGAUGAAGGCCCUAGGGUUGUAAAGCUCUUUGUGCGGGAAGAUAAUGACGGUACCGCAAGAAUAAGCCCCGGCUAACUUCGUGCCAGCAGCCGCCGUAAC
rnacentral:rRNA from 1 species